rnacentral:snRNA from 1 species
GGAUGUGAGGGCAAUCUGGUUGCGACAUCUGUCACCCCAUUGAUCGCCAGGGUUGAUUCGGCUGAUCUGGCUGGCUAGGCGGGUGUCCCCUUCCUCCCUUACUGCUCCAUGUGCGUCCCUCCCGAAGCUGCGCGCUCCAUCCCCAAUAGAGGAGGACCGUUCUUCAGUCAAGGGUAUACGAGUAACUGCGCUCCCCUGCUAGAACCUCCAAACAGGCUCUUAAAGUAGAGCUUCUGGCUCCCCAGCAUCAGAAAUACCUAGAAUCUUAUUAAAAAUAUAAAUCCUUGU